rnacentral:rRNA from 1 species
GAUGAACGCUGGCGGCGUGCCUAAUACAUGCAAGUCGAGCGAACAGACGAGGAGCUUGCUCCUCUGACGUUAGCGGCGGACGGGUGAGUAACACGUGGAUAACCUACCUAUAAGACUGGGAUAACUUCGGGAAACCGGAGCUAAUACCGGAUAAUAUAUUGAACCGCAUGGUUCAAUAGUGAAAGACGGUUUUGCUGUCACUUAUAGAUGUAUCCGCGCCGCAUUAGCUAGUUGGUAAGGUAACGCCUUACCAAGGCAACGACGCGUAGACGACCUGAUAGGGUGCUCGCCCCCACCAGAAGUGACACACGUUCCAGACUCCUACGGGAGCCAGGAGUAGGUAUUCUCCGGAAAAGUGAGAAAGCUUGACGGACCAACGUCGCUAGAGUGAUGGAGGUCUUCGGAUCGUAAAACUCUGUUAUUAGGGAAGAACAAAUGGGUAAGUAACUAUGCACGUCUAGACGGUACGUAAUCAGAAAGCCACGCCUAACUACGU